rnacentral:misc_RNA from 1 species
AAAGCAUCUAAUGAAACUACUAUUUUUGAUAUAUCCAAAGGUAGACGGGAUUUCAUAAGCGCAGAAGAGGCGUCUGAGUUGUUGAAACCAUUAAGUGAACCAGGGAAUAAUUAUAAAAGGAUAUGUUUCAGCAAUAGAAGCUUUGGCGGGGAUGCUGCUAAAAUUGCAGGACCGAUUUUGUCUUCUCUUAAAGAUCAAUUGACAGAAGUUGACCUUUCAGACUUUGUAGCAGGUAGACCAGAGGAAGAAGCCCUGGAAGUCAUGGAAAUCUUUUCUUCUGCUUUGGACGCCUGUGACCUGAGGUAUCUCGAUCUUUCUAACAAUGCUCUAGGUGAAAAAGGAAUAAGGGCAUUUGGGGCACUUUUAAAGUCACAAAAGAACUUGGAAGAACUCUAUUUAAUGAAUGACGGCAUUUCAGAGGAAGCAGCAGAGGCAGUUUGCGAGCUAAUCCCUUCAACUGAUAAACUUCGUAUCCUUCAUUUUCACAAUAACAUGA